UCUCAGUUCGGAUUGGAGUCUGCAACCCGACUCCAUGAAGCUGGAUUCGCUAGUAAUCGCGCAUCAGCCACGGCGCGGUGAAUACGUUCCCGGGCCUUGUACACACCGCCCGUCAAGCCAUGAAAGCCGGGGGUACCUGAAGUGCGUAACCGCAAGGAGCGCCCUAGGGUAAAACUGGUGAUUGGGGCUAAGUCGUAACAAGGUAGC
rnacentral:rRNA from 1 species